rnacentral:ncRNA from 1 species
GCAAAGUUUUAUUUUAGCUUGAGGUUUUAUUGUAUUUUUUUUUACAUGUAUUUGUUAGGGAAUUUAUUAGAUAUGGGGUUAUUUGCAGUGAGUGAAUUUAUUUAUUUAGUAAUUUAUGAUUUAGGAAUUGAUUUUAGAUUGAAUAAAAUUUGUGCCAGCAAUUGCGGUUAUACAAAUUAAUUAAUUAAAACUUUUUGAUUAGUAGUUAAUUGGAAGUUAGAAGAAUAAUAAGAAGGCUUUUAGGGUGAAAUUUUGAGUCUUUAUAUAUUUUAUUUAAAUGAUAAGUGAGGCUAUAAAAAUUUAAUUUUAAACUAGGAUUAGAUACCCUACUAUUUAAAUUAUUAAAUUUGAUAUCUGAUUAUUAACAGGAUACGUGUCUUGAAAAUUAAAAAAUUUGGCGGUAUUUUAGUCUGUUCAGAGGAACCUGCCCCUUAAUUGAUAAUCCACGAUUUGUUUUACUCUUUUUUAGUUUGUAUAUCAUCGUGGUUUGAAUAUUUUAUUAGAAUUUUAAUAUUCAUAAUUUUUUAUUAAAAAAGAAAUCAGAUCAAGGUGCAGCUUAUAUAAGAGGGGAGGUGGGUUACAAUAAAGUUAUUUUUGGUUUAAAAAUUUAAAUAUUUUUAUUAAAUUGGAUUUGAAAGUAAUUUUUAAUAAAUAUUAGUUUUGAUUUUAGCUCUAAAAUAUGCACAUAUUGCCCGUCGCUUUCAUUAAGGUGAAAUAAGUCGUAACAAAGUAGAUGUACUGGAAAGUGUAUCUAGAAAGAU